CUGCAAGCACUCUAAUGAUUUUGUGGACUAAUUCCAGAUUAUGAAAGAUCGAGGGGCCGAUACUGAAAAACGAUCUAAAAAGUAAAUUACAUUAACAUAAAGCACCAUCCACGUGGACCAUCACCAGCCAUUAAUUUCCUCCAAGAUCCGAAGGAAAAUACUAUUCUCUCUCCUCACUCUCCCUUCCCGGACCUUUCCGCUUCCAGCUUCACAUGGCAAGGCUCCCUUUUUUAUCAAUUAAUAAUAAUAAUAAUUCCCCCAACCCUGCAGGAGCAAAGGCCUUCUCUCCAAAAACUCCCAUAAUAACAAGCAAGCGCCAAAUCUCUCUCUGCUCCUCCUCCCCUUCAUGCGAUCUCAAUCUGGGCCUCCCCCAACAGAACCACCCAUCCCUUGAAAUCUCUCCCCAGUCCGCCCUUUUCCCGCCUCCGCUCCCUCCGCUCCCUGCUGGGCUCCGUCAAGAACCUCUAAUGGAUUCUUCGUCGGGGGCGAAUGGGAAGCUGUUGUCGAAGGAGUUGGAUGUUGCUGUGAGAGUUGUGCAGAUGGCCUGCUCUCUGUGUCAGAGGGUCCAAGAUGGGCUUGUUGGGAGAAAAGGGGAUCAGAUCAAAUCCAAGGAUGACGAUUCUCCUGUUACGGUUGCAGAUUGGGGUGUACAGGCAACCGUCAGUUGGAUGCUUUCACAAAAUUUUGGCAUCGAAAAUGUAUCCAUUGUGGCUGAAGAAGAUGUCCAAACUCUAUCCGAAAAAAAUUCUGCAGGCUUGCUCGAUUCCGUCGUCAGUCUUGUCAACGAGUGCCUCGCUGAAGCUCCCAAAUACGGAUUACAAGCUCCCCAAAAAUCUCUCGGAAGUAGAGAGGUUCUUGAUGCUAUAAGCAGAUGCAACUCCAUUGGUGGUCCAAAGGGAAGAUUUUGGGCUCUUGACCCUGUAGAUGGUACAUUAGGCUUUGUUCGUGGAGAUCAAUACGCUGUUGCUCUUGCGCUAAUUGCGGAUGGGCAAGUUAUUCUUGGUGUUCUUGGAUGCCCGAAUUAUCCAAUGAAGAAGCAGUGGCUUAACUAUCACCAGCGAUAUUAUAGGCUCAUGUCUAAGCUCUCGCCUCCUGCUCCUGGGUCUUGGGACAAAGGAUGUGUGUUCUAUGCUCAGAGAGGUAGCGGUCAGGCUUGGAUGCAACCACUGAUUCAUGAUUAUGGGAAGCUUGAAAUGGAGAGCUCAGCAACUCCGAUUAGGGUUUCAUCGAUUGAUGAUCCGGCCUUAUCGACGUUUUGUGAACCCGUUGAGAAGACCAAUUCGAGCCAUUCAUUCACCGCUGGUUUGGCUGAAAGUGUUGGCAUGAGGAAGCAACCUUUGCGAGUCUACAGCAUGGUAAAGUACGCAGCCAUAGCCCGCGGUGACGCAGAGAUAUUCAUGAAGUUUGCACGGGCCGGCUACAAGGAGAAGAUAUGGGACCAUGCUGCCGGUGUUGUCAUCAUACAAGAGGCUGGUGGAGUUGUCACUGAUGCAAGAGGCCGCCCGUUGGAUUUUUCAAGAGGCGUAUACCUAGAAGGUCUCGAUCGGGGCAUAAUAGCUUGCUCCGGUUCAGUACUACACGAGAAGAUCAUUGGUUCUGUGGAUGCCAGCUGGGACUCAUCAAAUCUCUGAUGUCUUCUGUAAUCUUCAGACCUCGAGCUUGGUAUGUAGUACAGGGAAUUUGAACUUGCAGAGCACUUCAGGGAGAAAUCAAAAGGUUAUAUCGUAUUUCUGGGAAGGACCUUUAUACUUGAAAAAUAAGAUACAGAUUAGUAUAAAUACCGUAUCCAAGAAGAGAGAAAUGGCCAUAACGUGGGCAUACUAAUACAAUUUUUUGUCGGAGCCGAUAUGUUCGUCAAGAAACUUGUCUACCUGAGAAUGUAUACACAUCAUUGUUAUUGUUGCAAGUCUGAUCAAAUUCUUGGUCUACUAAGUUUUGAAUAUAAAUUUUACUAGUUUAGCUUGA